UUUACCUGGCAGACGGCAGCAGACUCUGGAUGAUGGUGAUAAAGACCAGGACAAUGAAGGCACACACCAGUUUGUUGGCGAUGUCCACAUCCCAGGACCAGACAUCAAACUGCCACUUCCUGAGACCCAGUACUCCACACAGAACCGAGCCAGAGUGGAUCCCGAUUCGCAUGUCGAUGUCAUGUUUGGUGCGCGAUCGCGAUCAAAGCGUGCGAAGAGUUCGUUCAACAUCCUGACCAGCUCCUGAGCCGACAGCGUCGUGGACAGCCUGAGGCGAGCCUCGAUGCAACGCCGCGUCUCCAGGAAGGCCUGGCGCUGUGCGCGGUCCGACAGGUAACUGAUGAAGAUGCCGGCGGUGUUCAUACACAUGAAGAGCAUGGCCUGGGCUGCCACCUGCAGGGGGAGACAGAGACAACAGAACCGUGGUGUGACCUGAAGUUUGUUGGUCCAGAAAAAGAGAAGCCGGAGCUUCUGCUGGACCUGUUGAGGUGGACCACACCCACGGGCCUCAGGACUGGGCUGCAGUCCGACCGGACACGGUGAUGUUUCACCUGCAGGAGGUUCUGAUCACUGUCAGCACAGAAACCUGGCUGAUGUUCACAGGACCAGGUCCAGGACUAGGUCCAGGACCAGGACCAGAGUGAAGUCACAGCUCACUGACCGGACCACCGGCAGGUCAGGACAGCAACACUGACCACAGGGUUCUGGUCACAUGGUCCUGGUGUCGUGACCUGAGGUUACAGCCGUGUCCUGCCUCCUCGUUGGCCAAUGAUCUCCUCGGACGUCGAUAAACCCUGAGACGCGCAGGAUCUUCUCGCUCAAUUAUUCAUCACUAAAGUCUUUUGUAGCCUGUUAGUGGAUCAAUAGCUGCUGUAAUCAGCUUUCCAAUGAAGCGGAGUCACUCACCAAACACACACGCUACAUUUACACACUCUGGAUCGUUUCAUCAUGUCUGAGCCACGGGUUUGGCAACACGGGGCCUGGGCAGGGCCGUGACUCAGGACAAAGCUGGACUUUGGUUUAUCAGCUGUGCGUUUUCUCUUCAUGUCAAACAAAGUUUGACAAACCGCUCACUCUGACACAACAAACCUGAUACAGAAAAAUGUAGCUCAGUGACACAAACUGACCACAGGAGGCAGCAGAGGACCGUCAGGCCUGUGUCUUUCUGAGCUAAAAUGACAGGUUUUCUCUGUGGACGUUGGUGAGUUGAGUUUUAUAUUUUAGGAUCAUUUAUUCAGGUUUAGCUAAUUAACCCCACUAUAAUUCAUACAUUAAAAACAGAUGUGUGUUUGACUUUGAAUUGAAGCUGUCCAUCUAGAUUUCCUGUUGUUCCUGCUGUUGUGUGUUUGCUGUGUUUGAGGUGGGGAGAGUGUGAGGGGUCGACAAACUUCAGCUUCCUGUUGGGAAAGUCUAACAGUGACAUAAAGACUGAGCAGUGGAACUAAAAAUAAACCCCAGUCAGAAGUUAACUGCACCAAGUGUUACCACGGUAACCGACAUCGGAGUCAGCUUCAUGACAUGAUUCCAUGAAGUCUGGAAUCAGGAGCUGCUGUUGUCACACCAUGGUGCUUCCUUUUUAAAUGCAGCCCCCCCCCCUCCUGCUGCCCCCCCCUCACCCUCUGACCUCCUGACCUUAAGUGUGCUGUAAGUGUAAAAGCCAGAGGUCAUCAGUGUGUGAUGAGGCCCGUCCGACUCUUCAUGAUGAUGAUGAUGAUGAUGAUGAUGGUGAUGA